GGGUGAGUAACACGUAUCCAACCUGCCGUCUACUCUUGGACAGCCUUCUGAAAGGAAGAUUAAUACAAGAUGGCAUCAUGAGUCCGCAUGUUCACAUGAUUAAAGGUAUUCCGGUAGACGAUGGGGAUGCGUUCCAUUAGAUAGUAGGCGGGGUAACGGCCCACCUAGUCUUCGAUGGAUAGGGGUUCUGAGAGGAAGGUCCCCCACAUUGGAACUGAGACACGGUCCAAACUCCUACGGGAGGCAGCAGUGAGGAAUAUUGGUCAAUGGGCGAGAGCCUGAACCAGCCAAGUAGCGUGAAGGAUGACUGCCCUAUGGGUUGUAAACUUCUUUUAUAAAGGAAUAAAGUCGGGUAUGGAUACCCGUUUACAUGUACUUUAUGAAUAAGGAUCGGCUAACUCCGUGCCAGCAGCCGCGGUAAUACGGAGGAUCCGAGCGUUAUCCGGAUUUAUUGGGUUUAAAGGGAGCGUAGAUGGAUGUUUAAGUCAGUUGUGAAAGUUUGCGGCUCAACCGUAAAAUUGCAGUUGAUACUGGAUAUCUUGAGUGCAGUUGAGGCAGGCGGAAUUCGUGGUGUAGCGGUGAAAUGCUUAGAUAUCACGAAGAACUCCGAUUGCGAAGGCAGCCUGCUAAGCUGCAACUGACAUUGAGGCUCGAAAGUGUGGGUAUCAAACAGGAUUAGAUACCCUGGUAGUCCACGCAGUAAACGAU
rnacentral:rRNA from 1 species